GGGACAGUCCUCAUGUGGUCCCUGGCUCAGCCUCAAGGGUUCUUGAUUAGUCUCCCUGCAGUCUCUGUGCUGUGUCUCUAGGCCUACUAAUGGGGGCCUGGUUAGGGAGACAUGGUCCGUGGGGACUUGGUCAGUGGGGCCUGGUCAAUGGGGGAGUGCUCAUUAGGGGCCUCGUUGGGGCCACCUGGUCAGUAGGAACCUGGCCAGUUAGCCGAUGUGUGACCUCAGGCAGGGGGUUUGUCUGUGGAGCCUCUUUGCCUCCAUCUGUAGGGAAGGUGAGUCAGGGCACCCUGGAGGGUGGCUGGAAAGAGAACGUGAGAAGAUGUGUUGAAUUCAGCACUGCUUGGCAGACCUCCAACUUUACACAGUACCUGGGUUCCACCUAGAAAGGGUGCCAGCCCUCUCUGCUCUGCUCGGCACCCCUCCUCUGUCUGCAUCCCCAGGACCACCCUCAGUGGAGAGGGAAGAAAUUGGGGAGCACCUGUGGGAGGCUCUAAUCCUGGCCCUGGGCCCUGGUGGUGACAGUGAUGAGGACCUGGGUGCACCUGUGAGUGGAGCAGCUAGGCCUGGCCAGAGAAGCAAGACAAACAAACACACCCAUAUGUACACACACACACGCAUACACAAACACAAUGCAUGCACACAUGUCAGUUCAGGGGAUAGAGGACACCGACUCUGGG
rnacentral:lncRNA from 10 species